UACGGGGGGGGCAAGCGUUGUUCGGAAUUACUGGGCGUAAAGGGCUCGUAGGCGGCCAACUAAGUCAGACGUGAAAUCCCUCGGCUUAACCGGGGAACUGCGUCUGAUACUGGAUGGCUUGAGUUUGGGAGAGGGAUGCGGAAUUCCAGGUGUAGCGGUGAAAUGCGUAGAUAUCUGGAGGAACACCCGUGGCGAAGGCGGCAUCCUGGACCGAUACUGACGCUGAGGAGCGAAAGCCAGGGGGAGCAAACGGG
rnacentral:rRNA from 1 species